rnacentral:lncRNA from 1 species
UCAAAGUGCUGGGAUUACAAGCAUGAGCCACCGCGCCCAGCCUAUAGCCUUUUAUAAUUGUUUUUCCAACCCCCAAAUCAGCAUCCAUGACUACAUAAACUUUUUGGCCGUUUGACCAAAUGGGGACAUCUGGCAUACUGCUAUCAACCAAUAUGUGUUGUAUAAGAGGAGAACUUAGCUCUGAAUGGACUAGUAUACCUGAUCACCAGCAGCAGUUAAAAGAAGUGACUUUCACUCUCCGGCAUGAUUCUGAGGCCUCCCC